rnacentral:lncRNA from 13 species
CCAAAAUCUAUAUUUUUCUUCAACCAGAAAUAUCUUACAUGAUUUAUUUUUCUCAUAAUCACUCAUGACAGAAGUAUUUAAUCACUACGUAUCUUCCCAGACUCGUUUUUCUCCAGACUCUUCUCUCUGCAGUUAUUUUCUACUUCUGUCAUUGGGCAGAUGCCUUAUGCUUUUUCAAACACUCCUAUCCAAAAGCUCUCUCUAUUCUUUGGCUCAAUUUGCCUGCAAUUCCUUCACCAGGACAUUGACUCAUUGACUUGGGUUGCCUUUUAUUCACAUGGGUAUAUGAGCUCAUGGGCUUGAAGCCAAACAUACGUAUAUAUACAUGAAUUGGAAUUUUGCAUUACAUUAAACUGUGAAACAGAGAAAUUGGGCAAAAGCAGUAGCAAUUUUGCUUUUCAGAGAUUUAAUUUUGGGAUGUGAUGAUGCUUUUUUCUUUUUUUCUAGUUAUUUAAUAUGUAUUUUAAGGAAGCUUUUUUGCUAUCCUGUUUCACUUCCUAACAUGCAAUCUAGCCAAUUAAAUCAUGAGUCUGAAACUUCGAGGCCUGGAGUAAGUUCUUUACCGAGGGACUGGUUCACUGUUGUGUUGAGAACAGAUUCUGGAUGCCAUGGUGGAAGCAGGAAGACCAAUUUCAAAGAUAUUGGAAUAAUUCAGCCAUCCUCAAAGAGUUUAAUGAAUGUGGUACCACAAGCAAAAUGUACGUCCACAUUGAAAGGAUUCUGAAUAUGUGGGCCUACUUUUCUAGAAGAUUGUAAUAAAAGCCACCAAAGCAAUUCUGGACCA